AGUGAACGCUGGCGGUAUGCCUAACACAUGCAAGUCGAACGGCAGCACAGUAAGAGCUUGCUCUUACGGGUGGCGAGUGGCGUACUGGUGAGGAAUACAUCGGAAUCUACUUUUUCGUGGGGGAUAACGUAGGGAAACUUACCCUAAUACCGCAUACUACCUACGGGUGAAAGCAGGGGAUUUUCGGACCUUGCGCGAUUGAAUGAGCCGAUGUCGGAUUAGCUAGUUGGCGGGGUAAAGGCCCACCAAGGCGACGAUCCGUAGCUGGUCUGAGAGGAUGAUCAGCCACACUGGAACUGAGACACGGUCCAGACUCCUACGGGAGGCAGCAGUGGGGAAUAUUGGACAAUGGGCGCAAGCCUGAUCCAGCCAUACCGCGUGGGUGAAGAAGGCCUUCGGGUUGUAAAGCCCUUUUGUUAGGAAAGAAAAGCAGCAGGUUAAUACCCCGCUGUUAUGACGGUACCCAAAGAAUAAGCACCGGCUAACUUCGUG
rnacentral:rRNA from 1 species